GUCCGGGUGGCGGAAUUGGUAGACGCGCUAGCUUGAGGUGCUAGUGCCCUUUAUCGGGCGUGGGGGUUCAAGUCCCCCUCCGGACA
rnacentral:tRNA from 1 species